GCAGCAAUGAUGAUUGGCGCAGGGGUACAGACCUCAGCUAAAUAAUGGGAGCUGAGUGUGAGCUUUGUGUGUUCCAGCAUUGUUGGCAUGUGGCUAGCUUACUGGAGAAAGGCUCACAUGAAAACUUUGCCUUACACUGAGCUGC
ensembl:snoRNA small nucleolar RNA, C/D box 94